UACGGAGGGGUGCGAGCGUUGUUCGGAAUUACUGGGCGUAAAGCGCACGUAGGCGGCUUUGUAAGUUAGAGGUGAAAGCCCAGGGCUUAACCCUGGAAUUGCCUUUAAGACUGCAUCGCUAGAAUCGUGGAGAGGUGAGUGGAAUUCCGAGUGUAGAGGUGGAAUUCGUAGAUAUUCGGAAGAACACCAGUGGCGAAGGCGACUCACUGGACACGUAUUGACGCUGAGGUGCGAAAGCGUGGGGAGCAAACAGGG
rnacentral:rRNA from 1 species